rnacentral:rRNA from 1 species
UACGGAGGGAGCUAGCGUUGUUCGGAAUUACUGGGCGUAAAGCGCGCGUAGGCGGCUUGGUAAGUUAGAGGUGAAAGCCCGGGGGCUCAACCCCGGAAUUGCCUUUAAGACUGCAUCGCUUGAAUCCGGGAGAGGUGAGUGGAAUUCCGAGUGUAGAGGUGAAAUUCGUAGAUAUUCGGAAGAACACCAGUGGCGAAGGCGGCUCACUGGACCGGCAUUGACGCUGAGGUGCGAAAGCGUGGGGAGGCAAACAGG